rnacentral:rRNA from 1 species
UACGUAGGGUGCAAGCGUUGUCCGGAAUUAUUUGGGCGUAAAGAGCUCGUAGGCGGUUUGUCGCGUCGGCUGUGAAAUCCCCGAGGCUCAACCUCGGGUCUGCAGUCGAUACGGGCGGACUGGAGUUCGGCAGGGGAGACUGGAAUUCCUGGUGUAGCGGUGAAAUGCGCAGAUAUCAGGAGGAACACCGGUGGCGAAGGCGGGUCUCUGGGCCGAUACUGACGCUGAGGAGCGAAAGCGUGGGGAGCGAACAGG